AAUCCAUGAUGAGGGCAUUGAGCUUGGUAGCCUUUGAAUCUCUCCCAGACUUCACUGAAUCCUUCCAAGUCUUUCUGUUGAAAGCUGGAGAUCUCAUUUCCCAGCUU
rfam:Brassica oleracea var. oleracea cultivar TO1000 chromosome C4, whole genome shotgun sequence